rnacentral:rRNA from 1 species
UGCAUAGGCGGUUUGAUAAGUCAGUUGUGAAAUUCCCCGGCUUAACCGGCGGGACUGCGAUUGAUACUGUCAAACUUGAAUCAGGUUGAGGUAGGCGGAAUGUGGCAUGUAGCGGUGAAAUGCAUAGAUAUGCCAUAGAACACCGAUUGCGAAGGCAGCUUGCUGGACCUUGAUUGACGCUGAGGCACGAAAGCGUGGGGAGCGAACAGGAUUAGAUACCCUGGUAGUCC